UGCGUAGGUGGCAAUUUAAGUUGGAUGUGAAAUCCCCGGGCUUAACCUGGGUGGUGCAUUCAAAACUGGAUAGCUAGAGUGCAGGAGAGGGAAGCGGAAUUCCUAGUGUAGCGGUGAAAUGCGUAGAUAUUAGGAGGAACACCAGUGGCGAAGGCGGCUUUCUGGACUGUAACUGACACUGAGGCACGAAAGCGUGGGGAGCAAACA
rnacentral:rRNA from 1 species